rnacentral:tRNA from 1 species
UGUCUGGAUGGUGCAGUGGUCAGCACAUCUGCCUAGUAAGCAGGAGACCUGGGUUUGAAUCCCAAUCCAGCAG